rnacentral:lncRNA from 1 species
AGUUCAUUGGGACAAGACUGACAUUGUUGUAAUGAAGGAGGUUCGCGUAUGCAGUCCGUACCUGCCUGAAAAUGUCAGCGGCGGAACAUCAGCUGCUAAUGAACGGGUUAAGAAAGUGGUAAUGCACCUGUACUUGUAGAUCAAUGUUUACACUUUUAAACGUCUGAACCAGGAAAAUGACUAAUCGUUGUUUUCUUUUGGUGUGUGUUUUAUUUGGUGCAGCUGGACUUUGAGAGGAAAAGACAACAUGUGCGUGUACCUGGCCAAUUCUAACUUAUUCGACUUGACAAAUUUUCACCUCAACUCCUGCUGUGAUAUGUUUCUAAAUCCGACCUUAUUUGUCCAGUUUCAUCAGUUGAAUUUUCUAAGAAUCUGUUUCAGCAUGCUGUUCUCACAAACUACCACACUAGCAAGCUUAUUGAUAUUCUGCUAUUAGAUGCCGUAUGUGGUGGUGAAUAAUUGCAGCACACUGCUGAUAAUUCUGUGGCUGAUAGUGAAAGGUUGUGUGGCUGAAGCAAACUAAGGAAAGAAAAUAGAUUGGUGGCACUGAAAGAAUAGGAAGUUGUAUAACAACUAAGAAAAGAGGCGGAGCAAAGGCAAAACUGAAAAUUAGUCUCUCAGACUUUGUAUUACUCUUCCUGGUGGAAUAAUAUUUCCAGCUUGUGCUGUUGUAUUCUUUUGCUUCCCUUGCAAUCCAUGGUACUGGACAUGUAAGGCGAAAUCGUGUAGCUUUAUUGGUGAGAUGAUAUCACGGCAUGGUUCCGUUCAUGUUUUGCGAUUGAAUGCACAAAGAAUUGUUUGUACCCCAGUUAAUGGCCGGGACUCUAU